rnacentral:rRNA from 1 species
UACGGGAGGCAGCAGUGGGGAAUAUUGCACAAUGGGCGCAAGCCUGAUGCAGCCAUGCCGCGUGUAUGAAAAAGGCCUUCGGGUUGUAAAGUACUUUCAGUCGUGAGGAAGGUGUUAAGGUUAAUAACCUUAGCAAUUGACGUUAGCGACAGAAGAAGCACCGGCUAACUCCGUGCCAGCAGCCGCGGUAAUACGGAGGGUGCGAGCGUUAAUCGGAAUUACUGGGCGUAAAGGGCACGCAGGCGGUUAAUUAAGUUGGAUGUGAAAUCCCCGGGCUUAACCUGGGAAUGGCAUUCAAGACUGGUUAGCUAGAGUCUUGUAGAGGGGGUAGAAUUCCAUGUGUAGCGGUGAAAUGCGUAGAGAUGUGGAGGAAUACCGGUGGCGAAGGCGGGCCCCUGGGACAAAGACUGACGCUCAUGUGCGAAAGCGUGGGGAGCAAACAGGGAUUAGAUACC